GUGGGGAAUAUUGCACAAUGGGCGCAAGCCUGAUGCAGCAACGCCGCGUGAGGGACGACGGCCUUCGGGUUGUAAACCUCUUUUAGCAGGGAAGAAGCGAAAGUGACGGUACCUGCAGAAAAAGCACCGGCUAACUACGUGCCAGCAGCCGCGGUAAUACGUAGGGUGCAAGCGUUGUCCGGAAUUAUUGGGCGUAAAGAGCUCGUAGGCGGUUUGUCGCGUCUGCUGUGAAAACCCGAGGCUCAACCUCGGGCCUGCAGUGGGUACGGGCAGACUAGAGGGCGGUAGGGGAGAUUGGAAUUCCUGGUGUAGCGGUGGAAUGCGCAGAUAUCAGGAGGAACAUCGAUGGCGAAGGCAGAUCUCUGGGCCGUAACUGACGCUGAGGAGCGAAAGCGUGGGGAGCGAACAGGAUUAGAUACCCCGGUAGUCC
rnacentral:rRNA from 1 species